rnacentral:rRNA from 1 species
GGAGGAAACUCUGAUGCAGCAACGCCGCGUGGAGGAUGACGCAUUUCGGUGUGUAAACUCCUUUUAUAUGGGAAGAUAAUGACGGUAGCAUAUGAAUAAGCACCGGCUAACUCCGUGCCAGCAGCCGCGGUAAUACGGAGGGUGCAAGCGUUACUCGGAAUCACUGGGCGUAAAGGACGCGCAGGCGGGCUGUCAAGUCUGAUGUGAAAUCCUAUGGCUCAACCGUAGAACUGCAUUGGAAACUGGUUACCUAGAGUGUGGGAGGGGGAGAUGGAAUUAGUGGU